rnacentral:rRNA from 1 species
GACGAACGCUGGCGGCGUGCUUAACACAUGCAAGUCGAACGGUAAGGCCCUUCGGGGUACACGAGUGGCGAACGGGUGAGUAACACAUGGGUGAUCUGCCCUGCACUUCGGGAUAAGCCUGGGAAACUGGGUCUAAUACCGGAUAGGACCACUGCCUGCAUGGGUGGGGGUGGAAAGCUUUUGCGGUGUGGGAUGGGCCCGCGGCCUAUCAGCUUGUUGGUGGGGUGAUGGCCUACCAAGGCGACGACGGGUAGCCGGCCUGAGAGGGUGACCGGCCACACUGGGACUGAGAUACGGCCCAGACUCCUACGGGAGGCAGCAGUGGGGAAUAUUGCACAAUGGGCGCAAGCCUGAUGCAGCGACGCCGCGUGAGGGAUGACGGCCUUCGGGUAGUAAACCUCUUUCAGCACCGACGAAGCGCAAGUGACGGUAGGUGCAGAAGAAGGACCGGCCAACUACGUGCCAGCCGCCGCCGUAA